rnacentral:rRNA from 1 species
AACGAACGCUGGCGGCAUGCCUAACACAUGCAAGUCGAACGAGACCUUCGGGUCUAGUGGCGCACGGGUGCGUAACGCGUGGGAACCUGCCUUUAGGUUCGGAAUAACUCAGAGAAAUUUGAGCUAAUACCGGAUAAUGUCUUCGGACCAAAGAUUUAUCGCCUUUAGAUGGGCCCGCGUUGGAUUAGCUAGUUGGUGGGGUAAAGGCCUACCAAGGCGACGAUCCAUAGCUGGUCUGAGAGGAUGAUCAGCCACACUGGGACUGAGACACGGCCCAGACUCCUACGGGAGGCAGCAGUGGGGAAUAUUGGACAAUGGGCGAAAGCCUGAUCCAGCAAUGCCGCGUGAGUGAUGAAGGCCUUAGGGUUGUAAAGCUCUUUUACCCGAGAUGAUAAUGACAGUAUCGGGAGAAUAAAGCCCCGGCUAAACUCCGUGCCAGCAG